UCCAUGGUCUUGUUCAUUAGGGCACACCGUAUCAAAACAUAUUUAUUAUUGGUGGUAUUGACUGUAGUUGUUUUCCUAGCCGUGGAUCUGCAGAAGUGUGAUUUGUCCAACGAGGGGGCAUGGUCUCUGCUGGAGGCUCUGAAGUCCAACUCCACUCUCUAUGUCCUUGACAUCAGGUGGAACCGCUUAGUGGACAACGACCUGGUGAAGAUUGUGAUCGAAAAAGAGUUCUCAUGAACACAAACGGUCAAUCCUCUCAGUACUCCUGGAUCAAGCCCCCGUCCCUCAACGACCCAUAGAAACCUCAAGGCCUUAAGAGAAGAACACUGGGAAAUGCAGCUAGAGGAAAAGCAACAUUUAGGAUAGGCCCUCGCAGGUUGUCGCCAGCAGGUAGGUGGAGUCCAGGUGUUUCUCAGCAGCCACUCCCCAGCGCCAGCAGGUGUAUCCCAUGGCGCACUGCAGAACGCGCUG